rnacentral:rRNA from 1 species
AGUGGCAAACGGGUGAGUAACACGUAAACAACCUGCCUUCAGGAUGGGGACAACAGACGGAAACGACUGCUAAUACCGAAUACCUGAAGAGGGGUUUGCGUCUGAUUAGGUAGUUGGUGAGGUAACGGCCCACCAAGCCGACGAUCAGUAGCCGGUCUGAGAGGAUGAACGGCCACACUGGAACUGAGACACGGUCCAGACUCCUACGGGAGGCAGCAGUGGGGAAUCUUCCGCAAUGGGCGAAAGCCUGACGGAGCAACGCCGCGUGAGUGAUGACGGCCUUCGGGUUGUAAAGCUCUGUGAUCGGGGACGCGGUACCCGAAUAGCAAGCCACGGCUAACUACGUGCCAGCAGCCGCGGUAAUACGUAGGUGGCAAGCGUUGUCCGGAAUUAUUGGGCGUAAAGCGCGCGCAGGCGGUUCUUAAGUCCAUCUUAAAAGUGCGGGGCUUAACCCCGUGAUGGGAUGGAAACUGAGAGCUGGAGUAUCGGAGAGGAAAGUGGAAUUCCUAGUGUAGCGGUGAAAUGCGUAGAGAUUAGGAAGAACACCGGUGG